CCUACGGGGGGCUGCAGUGGGGAAUAUUGGACAAUGGACGCCAGUCUGACCCAGCAACGCCGCGUGAAGGAAGAAGGCUUUCGGGUUGUACACUUCUUUUAAGGUGGAAGAACAGUAGACGAUACCCCUUGAAUAAGCCACGGCUAACUACGGACAAGCAGCCGCGGUAAUACGUAGGUGACAAGCGUUUUCCGGAUGUACUGGGUGUAAUGGGCUUGCAGCCGGGAAGACAAGUCAGAUGUGAAAUCCCGCGGCUCAACCGCGGAACUGCAUUUGAAACUGUUUUUCUUGAGUAUCGGAGAGGUAAGCGGAAUUCCUAGUGUAGCGGUGAAAUGCGUAGAUAUGAGGAAGAACACCAGUGGCGAAGGCGGAUUACUGGACGACAACUGACGGUGAGGCGCGAAAGCGUGGGGAGCAAACAGGAUUAGAUACCCGUGUAGUC
rnacentral:rRNA from 1 species